rnacentral:rRNA from 1 species
GAUGAACGCUGGCGGCGUGCCUAAUACAUGCAAGUCGAGCGAACAGACGAGGAGCUUGCUCCUCUGACGUUAGCGGCGGACGGGUGAGUAACACGUGGAUAACCUACCUAUAAGACUGGGAUAACUUCGGGAAACCGGAGCUAAUACCGGAUAAUAUAUUGAACCGCAUGGUUCAAUAGUGAAAGACGGUUUUGCUGUCACUUAUAGAUGGAUCCGCGCCGCAUUAGCUAGUUGGUAAGGUAACGGCUUACCAAGGCGACGAUGCGUAGCCGACCUGCGAGGGUGAUCGGCCACACUGGAACUGAGCCACGGUCCAGACUCCUACGGGAGGCAGCAGUAGGGAAUCUUCCGCAAUGGGCGAAAGCCUGACGGAGCAACGCCGCGUGAGUGAUGAAGGUCUUCGGAUCGUAAAACUCUGUUAUUAGGGAAGAACAAAUGUGUAAGUAACUAUGCACGUCUUGACGGUACCUAAUCAGAAAGCCACGGCUAACUACGUG